GCCGAUUUGGUCCUAGUCCCAAUCUUAACUACUGUUGAGGUGCCACAUGCAAGUCCACUAGCGAACCAGUGAAAUAGAAUCUUAUUCCCUAAAACCUGGAAAGAAGAAAAGGGAAAGAGAAGACCAGUAUCAGGCACUAAGUAGAUGAGCCCACGACACUAAGCAAGAGAGUCUGCUCAACUGCAGUGCUAAAUAUUAGACAAUCAGAAAAAUCCGGAUUUAGCAAGGGAAGUAUAAAGGAGGUAAAAUACGUUGCCAGCCACCGCGGUUAUACGUAAUUCCUACAGUUAAAUAGUACGGUGAAAAGGGUGUUAGAAAAGUUCAUUGGUUGUAGCUUUGGGCUAGCGGUAUAAUUUUAAUCCCACACGAUACCCUUACCCCCAAAUUAAGCAUUUGAAGCCACGAAAUCUAAGGCCUAAACCAGGAUUAGAUACCCUGUUAUACUUAGAAGUGUAACACCCCUAAAGUUCAAAAUUCAAAGGAUUUGGCGGUUUUCCAAACCUCCCUGGAGAGUUUGCCAUUGAAUCGAUAACCCACGAUCCACCUCACCAAUUUUUGUAACACCAGCUUGUAUACCAUCGUCGUAAGUCUACUUCUUGAGAAAGUUGACUUUAAGGGAGAACCCUGGACGUCAGAUCAAGGUGCAGCCUAUAAGUUGGGGAUAGGUGAGCUACAAUGUUUGAACAAACCAGUUGGAAGGAGGGAUGAAAUACCCCUCGGAAUUUGGAUUCAGCAGUAGGCCCACUAAGAGAAUGGGGCUGAAAAGAGCUCUGGAAUGCGUACACAUCGCCCGUCACUCUCGCCUAGUUAAGAUUACACAAGGGGAGACAAGUCGUAACACAAUAGGCACACCGGACGCGAAAAUGCCCCUAUAGUUG